GUCACCAUAUGCAAGCAAUUGCUGCAACAUUCAUACCCAUAAAUGUCCAUGGAAUGUCCAAGACCAAUAGUCAGAUCAAUCAAUCAAUCAAUCAAUCAAUCAAUCAAUCAAUCUGUCUGUCUCUCUGUCUGUCUGGCCGUCUGUCUGUCUAAAAUUCACACACAAAAUUGGUAUACCAGUACUUUUUAAAAUUUUGAACUGAAUGACUGAAGCGCAAAUGUCGGUUAGACCUGCCCAACCGACUGCAUUCUUUUCAAAAUCACUCAUACUUCCAUCCGCGCGUGUGACAGCGCGUUAGCCUCAAACGGCGCUAAACGGACGAUGCCGCGCGAGGAGCACCCCGUUCAGGAGCGCGGUUUGUCUGAAGAGUUGACGGUGAUGCUACGUUUGACGCCCCAGAAGUAAAUGAAGGAUCAUUGGAAGGAAAUGGAUCAUUUUGCUUAAAGGAGCAGGUGCUGAUACUUCACAAAUCCCUCCCUGUUUACAGUUUCAUGGAAUGCACACCAGCCAAAACCAAAAGGAACCAACGCUGUCACAGGUGACAUCACAGAAUCAACCAGACUCUACAAGCAGCCUAUUUAUGGCUGAACAUGACUCAGAAUAAACCCAGAAACCUGUGCGCGUUGCACUCUAAGAAAAGCCUUUUUUCUAACCUGCGGCUUGGAGGGUGAUGCUGCCCUUUUGUCUCAUACACUAUGGAGCUGCUAAUGAGCGCACGAGCAAACCAGGCACCCCCCCCCCCGUGCCCAUUCAUGUGGAGCACAGGAGGCUGCAAGCGAGCCUGUUCCACCAGCUCACCUGAAUCUGCCCAGCUGUGAGUCUGUUCCACUAGCACACCUGAAUCCAUCCAGCUGUGGCCCUGUUCCACCAGCUCACCUGAACCCGCCCAGCUAUGUCUGUUCCACCUGCUCACCUGAACCCGCCCAGCUGUGUCUGUUCCACCAGCUCACCUGAAUUUGCCCACCUGUGAGCCUGUUCCACCAGCUCACCUGAAUUUGCCCACCUGUGAGCCUGUUCCACCUGUGAGGCGUGAAAUAAUUUGUGUGAUAAUAAAGUUAUUCUUUUCCGAAAUUCUUUAAAGGCUGUAAAUCGCUGCAUGUCCUCUUUUAUAAAAGAUACAACAACCCAAAUUUUCC